AACUCCAUAGACAGGCCAGCACAACCAGCCUUGCAGCCUGAGAUAAGGCCUUUGGCGGGUGUCUCCCCUAUCGCUCCCUCAAGCCCUCAAGUAGGUGUUGGAGAGAGGGGUGAUGCCUGGUGCUGGUGGAACCCCUGCACAGAGACGGACACAGGAUGAGCUCUAAGUACCCGCGGUCUGUCCGGUGCUGCCUGCCCCUCUGCGCCCUAACACUGGAAGCAGCUCUCAUUCUCCUCUUCUAUUUUUUUACCCAGUACGAUGCUUCCUUAGAGGAUCAAAAGGGGCUCGUGGCGUCCUAACAAGUCGGCCAAGAUCUGACCGUGAUGGCGGCCCUUGGCUUGGGCUUCCUCACCUCAAAUUUGCGGAGACACAGCUGGAGCAGUGUGGCCUUCAACCUCUUCAUGCUGGCGCUUGGUGUGCAGUGGGCAAUCCUGCUGGACGGCUUCCUGAGCCAGUUCCCUCCUGGGAAGGUGGUCAUCACACUGUUCAGUAUUCGGCUGGCCACCAUGAGUGCUAUGUCGGUGCUGAUCUCAGCAGGUGCUGUCUUGGGGAAGGUCAACUUGGUGCAGUUGGUGGUGAUGGUGCUGGUGGAGGUGACAGCUUUAGGCACCAUGAGGAUGGUCAUCAGUAAUAUCUUCAACACAGACUACCACAUGAACAUGAUACACAUCUACGUGUUCGCAGCCUAUUUUGGGCUGACUGUGGCCUGGUGCCUGCCAAAGCCUCUACCCACGUAAAGGAGGAUAAAGAUCAGAUAGCAACGAUACCCAGUUUGUCUGCCAUGCUGGGCGCCCUCUUCUUGUGGAUGUUCUGGCCAAGUUUCAACUCUGCUCUGCUGAGAAGUCCAAUCGAAAGGAAGAAUGCCGUGUUCAACACCUACUAUGCUGUAGCAGUCAGCGUGGUGACAGCCAUCUCAGGUCAUCCUUGGCUCACCCCCAAGGGAAGAUCAACAUGAGUUAUAUGCACAAUGCGGUGUUGGCAGGAGGCGUGGCUGUGGGUACCUCGUGUCACCUGAUCACUUCUCCGUGGCUUGCCAUGGUGCUGGGUCUUGUGGCUGGGCUGAUCUCCAUCGGGGGAGCCAAGUACCUGCCGGGGUGUUGUAACCGAGUGCUGGGGAUUUACCACAGCUCCGUCAUGCACUACAACUUCAGCUUGCUGGGUCUGCUUGGAGAGAUCAUCUACAUUGUGCUGCUGGUGCAUCAUACCGUCUGGAACGGCAAUGGCAUGUGGGUCACUGGGCUUACCCCCCAUCCCCUUAACACUCCCCUACAACUCAGGAAGAAAUGUGUGCAGAGUCCUUAGCUGGGGCAUGUGCAUUCAGGGCCAGGUGCUCAGUAGGCUUCGGUGAAUAUUUGUUGGCUGAUUUAUUCAGAAAUUCUGUCCAGCCCCUACCUUGGAUUGAUUUAUCACCUCUCCAGGCCACCUCUUCUUUCCAAAUC
rnacentral:sRNA from 1 species